rnacentral:rRNA from 1 species
AGCGAACGCUGGCGGCAGGCCUAACACAUGCAAGUCGAACGAACUCUUCGGAGUUAGUGGCGGACGUGUGAGUAACACGUGGGAACGUGCCUUUUGGUUCGGAAUAACUCAGUGAAACUUGUGCUAAUACCGAAUGUGCCCUUCCGGGGAAAGAUUUAUCGCCAUUAGAGCGGCCCGCGUCUGAUUAGCUGGUUGGGGAUGUAACGGCUGACCAAGGAGACGAUCAGUAGCUGGUCUGAGAGGAUGACCAGCCACACUGGGACUGCGACACGGCCUAGACUGCUACGGGAGGGAGCAGUGGGGAAUAUUGUGGAAUGGGCGAAAGCGUGACGCAGCCAUGCCGGGUGAAUGAUGAAGGUCUUAGGAUUGUAAAAUUCUUUGAGAGGGGACGAUAAUGACGGUAACGGGAGAAGAAGCCCCGGCUAACUUCGUG